GAUGAACGCUGGCGGCGUGCCUAAUACAUGCAAGUCGAGCGAACGGACGAGAAGCUUGCUUCUCUGAUGUUAGCGGCGGACGGGUGAGUAACACGUGGAUAACCUACCUAUAAGACUGGGAUAACUUCGGGAAACCGGAGCUAAUACCGGAUGAUAUUUUGAACCGCAUGGUUCAAAAGUGAAAGACGGUCUUGCUGUCACUUAUAGAUGGAUCCGCGCUGCAUUAGCUAGUUGGUAAGGUAACGGCUUACCAAGGCAACGAUGCAUAGCCGACCUGAGAGGGUGAUCGGCCACACUGGAACUGAGACACGGUCCAGACUCCUACGGGAGGCAGCAGUAGGGAAUCUGCCGCAAUGGGCGAAAGCCUGACGGAGCAACGCCGCGGGAGUGAUGAAGGUCUUCGGAUCGUAAAACUCUGUUAUUAGGGAAGAACAUAUGUGUAAGUAACUGUGCACAUCUUGACGGUACCUAAGCAGAAAGCCACGGCUAACUACGU
rnacentral:rRNA from 1 species